GUUCUGGCCUGGGGUCGGGAGCGGGCAGAAACUCACCUAGUUCCAGGUCAGUCGGCGGCGGUGGAAUGGAAGAAUGGGGUGCUAGCAGAUUCGGGGCGCAGGGAGCUCCUCCCUCCCUGGGCGUGUCUGGCCCAAGCCCACAGGCACAGGCGGGGGUGGGGGGAUGGGGGUGGUGGGGUGUAUGCUGUUCUGGCCUGGGGUUGGGAGCGGGCAGAAACUCACUCACCUAGUUCCAGGUCAGUCGGCGGCGGAAUCGUGACUGUAAGAUCUUGAAAGAGCCACCUCCUGAGGGAUGUUGCCUCCCACAGUGAGCUGGACCCUGUUACAUCAAUUAACAAUCGAGAAAAUCCCCACAGAUCAAUCUGAUCUAGGGAAUCCCUCAGUUUAGGCAGGCUGUGCCUCACUAAAGCUAUCUAGGACAGAGUCCAACAUAUGUAAAAUAGUAAUUGCCACAGUGUAUUAGUUACACCUCCUUCCCUUUGCCUUUAAAAGGGGAUAUGGCAUUUUCAAAAAUAACUGUUGGUGAGAUUUGAAGAAAUUCACACAUGUACAUUGUUGGAGGGAAUCUAGAAUGAUGCUGUGUGUGGAACAUAAUUCUGGCAGUGCCUCCAAAAGCUGAAUGUAGUAUUAUCAUAUGACCUAUAAGUUCUGUGCAGAUGUACUCCAUGAGCUUUGUUUAUAAAAAUUGCACAUGAUUAUACAUAAUUAUUCACAUUGUGCAUUUUUUUAAAUACAGGGUUUCUCUGUAGCUUUGGAGCCUGUCCUGGAACUCCCUCUGUAGACCAUGCUGGCCUCAAACUCACAGAGAUCCUCCAAUCUCUGUCUCCUGAGUGCUGGGAUUAAAGAAGUGCUAUAAACAGAGGACCUUCACCAGCAGCAUGUUUUGUGGAUGUAAGAGUUCUGGGAAUGGUAGAAUCUUCAUAAGUUCCUUUGCUAGUUAAUUUCAUUUUUGUUUCCUUUUUUGAGGGUGGGAGCAAGGACAGUGUUAGAGAUUGACAGUGCUUGAACAAAAACACAGAGCAAAUAGAGUUGUUGUUGUUUUUUUUCAGUCACACUUUGACUAUAUAUUGGUGUCAGUGAGCAGGAUGACCCCCAUGCCCCAAGGUUCCUAGAGGAAGAGGGAAACCUGCUGCCACUGCCUACCCUGUUGGGCCGCUGAGAGACAUCGGAGCAGGUUCCAUACGCUCGAGCAGUCUCUGUGCUCUUGGGGGUUGGACUCUGGCACUCCCGAGAUGGCCUGCAGCUCUUGAGGGUUCUAGGGUUAGGAUUCUGAGCUCUCACCACCACAAGCUAUCUUCGUGCAACUAGUCGAACAGUGGCAGAACCUGGGCAGCUGGAGGUAGUGUUACGAGCUUUCAUGUAAACUUCACAAAAACUUAAAAAUGAAUUUUAGCAGCAAAAGAUCAGAGACAAGCACGACUUCUUGCUAGCAUCAUUUUCUUGGGUGGUCUCUGUUUUGCUAGAGACAAGCAAAGACUCGAGUGGUUGCUUUAAGAGAGAUUUCCUGACUCAGCAAAAGCAGAAAAAAACUGCAGGACUCUUUAAGAGGCCCCUCUAGCUCAGUUGGCAGAGCAUGAGACUUUUGAUGUGGGUUCCUGCCCUAUGCAGCUGGCAGUGGCAGUGACCACAUCUCCAAGGCGGCAGCGUGCUCCUUGAAAGAUAUCGGCUAAGAAAGCUGCCACUUUAAUUUUUGUGGUGUUGUUUAACAGUUAAAAGACUGCAUGUCCAGAAGAAGGUAAAGAUUUACAAUAAAGACAGAUCCAGAUAAAGAAAAACCUCUGAAGUGUUUAAAAAUAUAUGUAGGCUUGUGAGAGAAAAAGUAACAGGAGGAAAUAGAGUAGCUGGGUGUGGGGGCACUCACCUUUAAUCCCAGCACUCCCAAAGCAGAGGCAGGCAGAUUUCCACAGAGAAACCCUGUCUCAGGAAAAAUGAAAGAAAAGGAAGUAAAAAUAGAAAAAUAGAAAAGCCACCCAAAGAUGAAAAAUACACAGAGAGUCUGGAUACUAUAUGCUAUAUUGUCUUUAAAUUGUUUGAUUGCCGAGGAAAGAGUUUCUGCUACUAAAAUACAUUUGAUUAUAAAUACAGCUAAAUUAAUCCAACUUAUACAUUUUAAAAAUGCUUUGACUUCAAAAUUUAAGUCUAAGGACAGGCUACUUGAAAAAAAAAGUUUUUGCUUGUGUUUCCACAGAAAAUCAAAAGCUGUGGAUUCCUUCCAGACUAAUAUGGUUUGAUCAAGCAAGACCCCUGAAGCUGAGAUGAUACAGUCUUACAGACUAUGAAAACAAGGACUUGGUCGAAUUUCUGUGUUUUAUCAUGAUCCCUAUGGUAUGGACAUCACCCCCAAUCAGCAGGAAGCAGUUUGGAAUGAACUACGCCUAAAUUCCCAAAUAUUGUUUAUAAAUGUUUGUUUUCAUUUAAAUGGAGUUGGUUAUAAAUGAUAAUGAGCAUAGUCAAUCUCUUUUCUUAAAAAAGGGGGGAUAUAGGAUAUAGGAAUGAAUACUUUGCAUUGAUAUGGACUUUCAUUUAUUGAUGCAACUUUAAGAUCAAUUUUGUGAUAUGUAUAUGUCUCCUCUUGUUUAGAUAUUGUGUUUAUACAGAUCUUUUAAAAUGAUAUACAUAAUUAAAUACAGGUUAUAUAGUUAUCUAUAAUAGUCAGAACUUAUAAUUAGGUUAGUUAGGUUUUCUAGAUAUACAGAGAUGUAUUUGAGAUGGAUAGGUAUUCUUUAAUUAAAUCUUUCAAAGACCGACAGAAUAUAUGGCAUUUAAAUGGUUUAGGGUUUUUCUUGGCAGUGAGACACAACUGCUCCUGGCACACCAAUUACAUCAGAAAGGAGGAUGGGCAUCGAAGAAACUCGUUAUGGAGUUUGCUUUCAACAUGGCAAGAUUAGCCAUUUGGGCAAGAAACUACUCUUGCCUGGAUUGUUUGUUGCUGUAUAAACUGGACGUGCAGGACCCACAAGAAAGUGACUGCUGAACUUACAAAACAAGACAGUACUGAAGGGUCCUGUUGAAAUGCAGAAGUGUGCCAGACACACAGCAGAUGUGGUGCUGGAGCUCAGAGUCCUACAUCUUGACUCAGAGGCAACAGGAAGUCAGCUGGCUGUCACACUGUGGGAAACUUGAGCAAAAGAGUCCUUACAGCCCACCCUCACAGUGACACACUUCCUUUAAGAAGGCUACAACUCCCAAUAGUGCCACUCCCUUUGGGGGCCAUAUUCUUUCAAACCACCACACUUGGGUGCAGCUUCCCUGUCAUAUAUAGAAGACACAGCCUCACAGCAGACAUCCUGUCUCUCUGGCUUUUACGAUCUUCUUAAUGCUUACAGAAGGCAUGCAAAACCUUGCAUCUAUUCCAUCUCUAGAUGUAUCUCUGCUUCAGCCAAACCUCAUUACACACUGUUGCUUUCCAGUGUCUUAUCAGCCAUGUGUUUAAGUGCUUCACCCUGAUUAGAACACACUUCCUGUCAUGUAACAUGAAAAAUAAAAAGCCCCAGAGACUGAUAUUGGGGUUCAAACUUCAAGCUGAAGAUCAGAAAAGAAAAGCAGCCAAUCCUAGCUUUUACCUUUACCUCAGGCUGAAAAGGCUGAUCCUGCUGCCUCUCCUCAGAGUGACUGGAGAUUCCUGAGACUGAAUGUCCUCCUAUCCUCAAUGUGUCUGGAGGAUGAAUUCUCAAUACUGAGACCUUGCUCCUGUCUUAUAUACCUCUCAUGAGUUCCAGGAUUAAAGGUGUGAGCUCUAAUUCUCUUUUAAACUGAUUUACUCUAAUGUGUCCUUGGGCGGCCUUGAAUUUAGAGAGAUCCAUCUGCCUUUAACUCCUGAAUCCUGGGAUUAAAGGUGUGUACUACCACCUACUGACCUCUAUAGCUUGUGGCUGACUUUGCUUUCUGAAUCCUCAGGCAAGCUUUAAUAAAUCAUAAAUGAUACAUCACCACACUAUCCUCACCUCAGAUUCACCUGGGAAAAUGGCUUGGACUUUACCAAGACUUAACCCAACUGACACUUACUUCUUGUUUCACACCUUACCUCUUUGCCAUUGUGUCAAGGAGGUGUCUGGGUAGUCACUUCCCACUGAUAUACACAAUCUCUUCUUUUUGAGCACUGCAAUCAGUAGCAUUUCAACAUAGCUCCCACCAUAUCUUACCGCAUGGCUUUCCACUCCUGAAUCUCUCUCCCUCUGCUGUGGGCUCCUCAGGAGUGGAGGUCAAGUUAGUUGCAACAUGUCUCAAGUCACAGUUUGUCCAAUGCCCAUUAAAUGUAUAUUGAAUUAAAAGUUGGAAAAUCUAUGAGUGAACAGAUGUUUGUGAGGGGUGUAAGUGAAUGGACACUGAAAUCAGACUGGAUAGGUAUCUAUAAUUCUGUUCAAUUAAAUGUGAUAGUGCGCUGGGCAGUGGUGGCACACGCCUUUAAUCUGAGCACGUGGAAGGCAGAUCUCUGAGUUCAAGGCCAGACUGAUCUACAAAGCAAGUUUCAGGACAGCCAGGAUUACACAGAGAAAUCCUGUCUCAAACCACUCCCCUACAAAUGUGACAGUGUUAUGUAAACUUCAGAGACAACCUCACAGCAACUCUGGAGCUAAAAUUCAAACCCAGAUCUUCCAAACCAGCACUGUCUGUAAUAUUGCCUUCUAAAUUUAAAAUAUUGGAUCUAGGGUCACAGCUCAUUGGCAAAGCAUUCAC
rnacentral:lncRNA from 1 species